rnacentral:rRNA from 1 species
AUUACGGGAGGCAGCAGUGGGGAAUAUUGGACAAUGGGCCACAAGCCUGAUCCAGCAAUUCUGUGUGCACGAUGAAGGUCUUCGGAUUGUAAAGUGCUUUCAGUUGGGAAGAAGAAAGUGACGGUACCAACAGAAGAAGCGACGGCUAAAUAUGUGCCAGCAGCCGCGGUAAUAAU